UUGAGGAGAGGCCGUUAGUCAAGGCUGGUGAUGCAGAAAGACGGAGCCUGAGCUGAUGACUCUCCAGCUACCGCCACAUUCGCUCUGGACCCCCCCUUUCCCAACCUCCUUCUGCUCACCUCUCGACACGGCUGGUUAAACAGCUGGAUCUCCUCACACGUUUUUUCGCUCACGGCAACGACAGAUUGAUGCGCGCAGGCGGAUAGUCGGUCCAUGCAGUAUGCCAGGCCCAGUGCUUGCUUGUCAAUAUAUAUCAAGGUCAGGCCAGGGCACACACAUCUCUGGCAUAAGCUUUCUAAUACUGGGCUGUGAAACUACUAUGGACAUGCUGUAACUUAUUUCACAAUGGAACAAGAGAGACCCUGAAAGCUGAUGUGCCAGAGAUGACGGAGAUGAUGAUGCACCAGGACCCUCCCAACUUUAAUCCGAACCCUGUGCUCUGAUUCAUCCAGGGUUUGCUGACCACAAGUAUUUGUUGAAGGAAUAUCCAAAUAAUCUUUAUACAAAUAGU